rnacentral:rRNA from 1 species
GCCCUUUUCCGGUUGAUCCCGCCGGACCCCACUGCUAUCGGGAUAGGACUAAGACAUGCUAGUCGUGUGCCUCAGCCAAAACGAGGCACGGCGCACAGCUCAGUAACACGUGGCUAACCUGCCCUUAGGACGAGAAUAACCCCGGGAAACUGGGGCUAAUGCUCGAUAGGUGAAGAACUCUGGAAUGAGUCUUCACUUAAAAGAGUCUGCGUUAUGCUCGUAGAUUUCGCUUAAGGAUGGGGCCGCGACCGAUCAGGUUGUUGGUGAGGUAAUGGCUCACCAAGCCUUUUACCGGUGCGGGCCGUGAGAGCGGGAGCCCGGAGAUGGGCACUGAGACAAGGGCCCAGGCCCUACGGGGCGCAGCAGUCGCGAAAACUUUGCAAUACACGAAAGUGUGACAGGGCUAUCCCGAGUGCCAUCCGCUGAGGAAGGCUUUUACCCAGUCUAGAACGCUGGGGGAAUAAGGAGAGGGCAAGUCUGGUGUCAGCCGCCGCGGUAAUAUCAGCUCUCCGAGUGGUGUGGAUGUUUAUUGGGCCUAAAGCAUCCGUAGCUGGCUAAGUUAGUCCCCUGUUAAAUCCAACGAAUUAAUCGUUGGAUCGCGGGGGAUACUGCUUGGCUAGGGGACGAGAGAGGCAGACGGUAUUUCCGGGGUAGGGGUGAAAUCCUAUAAUCCCGGGAAGACCACCAGUGGCGAAGGCUGUCUGCUAGAACGCGCCCGACGGUGAGGGAUGAAAGCUGGGGGAGCGAACCGGAUUAGAUACCCGGGUAGUCCCAGCUGUAAACGA